rnacentral:snRNA from 1 species
ACACUCACCUGGUGGGGAGAUACCAUGAGCAUGAAGGUGGUUUUCCUAGGGCAAGGCUUGUCCAUUGCACUUUGGCUGUGCUGACUUGUGAUGUUGCUGCAUGUGGGAAACGUGACUAUGGAAUUUGUGCUAAUUGGAGACUGUGUUCAUGCUCUCCCC